rnacentral:rRNA from 1 species
CCCCUAGUAACUGCGAGUGAAGCGGGAAAAGCUCAAAUUUGAAAUCUGGCGGUUCCGCCGUCCGAGUUGUAUUCUGGAGAAGCGUUUUCCGUGCCGGACCGUGUACAAGUCCCUUGGAACAGGGCGUCGUAGAGGGUGAGAAUCCCGUCUUUGACACGGACCCCCGGUGCUAUGUGAUGCGCUCUCGAAGAGUCGAGUUGUUUGGGAAUGCAGCUCAAAAUGGGUGGUAAAUUCCAUCUAAAGCUAAAUAUUGGCGAGAGACCGAUAGCGAACAAGUACCGUGAGGGAAAGAUGAAAAGCACUUUGGAAAGAGAGUAAAACAGUACGUGAAAUUGUUGAAAGGGAAACGCUUGAAGUCAGUCGCGUCUGCCGGAACUCAGCCUUGCUUCUGCUUGGUGCACUUUCCGGCCCGACGGGCCAGCAUCGGUUUCGGGUGACGGACACUGGUGUGGGGAAGGUGGCGGCUCAGGCCGUGUUAUAGCCCCUCGCCGCAAACGUCGUCUGGGACCGAGGAAUCCGGCGCAAGCCUGGGAUGCUGGCGUAAUGGCUUUAAACGACCCGUCUUGAAACACGGACCAAGGAGUGCUACGUGCUCGCGAGUGUUUGGGUGGAAAACCCGAGCGCGCAAUGAAAGUGAAAGUCGAUACCCCUCGCGGGGGCACCGACGCCCGAGCCUGAUGUUUUCGGACGGCCUUGCGGUAGAGCGAGUGCGUUGCGACCCGAAAGAUGGUGAACUAUUCCUGAGGAGGGCGAAGCCAGAGGAAACUCUGGUGGAGGCUCGUAGCGGUUCUGACGUGCAAAUCGAUCGCAGGACUUGGG